GACGAACGCUGGCGGCGUGCCUAAUACAUGCAAGUCGAACGCACUCUCGUUUAGAUUGAAGGAGUUUGCUCCUGAUUGAUAAACAUUUGAGUGAGUGGCGGACGGGUGAGUAACACGUGGGUAACCUGCCCUAAAGUGGGGGAUAACAUUUGGAAACAGAUGCUAAUACCGCAUAAAACCUAACACCGCAUGGUGUAGGGUUGAAAGAUGGUUUCGGCUAUCACUUUAGGAUGGACCCGCGGUGCAUUAGUUAGUUGGUGAGGUAAAGGUUCACCAAGACCGUGCUGCAUAGCCGACCUGAGAGGGUAAUCGGCCACACUGGGACUGAGACACGGCCCAGACUCCUACGGGAGGCAGCAGUAGGGAAUCUUCCACAAUGGACGAAAGUCUGAUGGAGCAACGCCGCGUGAGUGAAGAAGGUUUUCGGAUCGUAAAACUCUGUUGUUGGAGAAGAAUGUAUCUGAUAGUAACUGAUCAGGUAGUGACGGUAUCCAACCAGAAAGCCACGGCUAACUACGUG
rnacentral:rRNA from 1 species